rnacentral:rRNA from 1 species
UACGUAGGGUGCAAGCGUUAAUCGGAAUUACUGGGCGUAAAGCGUGCGCAGGCGGUUAUGCAAGACAGAUGUGAAAUCCCCGGGCUUAACCUGGGAACUGCAUUUGUGACUGCAUAGCUAGAGUACGGUAGAGGGGGAUGGAAUUCCGCGUGUAGCAGUGUAAUGCGUAGAUAUGCGGAGGAACACCGAUGGCGAAGGCAGUCCCCUGGACCUGUACUGACGCUCAUGCACGAAAGCGUGGGGAGCGAACAGG